rnacentral:rRNA from 1 species
AGAGUUUGAUCAUGGCUCAGAAUCAACGCUGGCGGCGUGCCUAACACAUGCAAGUCGAACGAGAAAGUGGAGCAAUCCAUGAGUAAAGUGGCGACCGGGUGAGUAACACGUGACUAACCUACCUUCGAGUGGGGGAUAACCUAGGGAAACCUGGGCUAAUACCGCAUAAUGCCUCGGGUUAAAGGAGCAAUUCGCUUGAA